UCAUUCCACAUAUUUGUUGCAACUUCUAUUCUAUCCUGUAAGACAAUGGAAACUGAUAAAAGCAAAUCAACUUGUAUCAAUUUAAUCUUGAUUGGUAAAGAUUAUCGCAGCCUCUACCCAUCCGUUUGGCCUUUGUUUCACUUGUUUUCUCUCCUCUUUUGACUCAAUAUGGUACAUCAAAGACUGGUUUCAAUGAGAGAUGGCAAUAUUAACAUGAUCAUAAUUGAAAAUGACUAUCAUGAAAAAGAUACAGAAGGUAUUGGUGGAACAAAGACUAAACUGAAUUACUUAAUAUCUCUUUCAGAGCUGUCCAACCUUCCGAAUCAAUCUAUACUAAUUCAUACAAUAUUUCAACUAUCUUCAUUCAUGUUUACUGAUACGAUUAUCUACCAAUAAUUGGGUUGUUUAAUCUGAAGGAGAAGACAGUCUCAUGGAUUCAGCAAUAAUACCAAUGGUUACUUGACGUUACUUUACAUUCCUAAGAUCUCAUUGUAAUGACUCUUUUGCUGUUUAUUGAGGCAACCUUCAAAUCAGCUCAAAUCUAUUGAUUGAUUCAUCUAUCUGUUUUAUUUUUCAUGAUUAAAAUUAACCAUGCAACCAACUUUUUUCUUUUCACAAUUAAUCUUUGGUCCAUCAGCAAAUUAAGAGAAAAGGAGAAAUUUUCAUUCCCUGGCAAACAUUUACAUUGAUUAUGCGUAAAAGUGGCAAAGAAAGAACAUCGAUUCAAGGAGAAAAUUUUAAUUCCAUGAUUGAAAAACAGCAUGAGAUUGAAUCAAUUGGUAUCAUGUGAAAUUCAAAGGAAAUUGUAUACCAUUAGCCAUUUCCUUGAGAGUGAAAUAACUAUACCAAUGGAUGGAAAUGAGGCAAGGAUGUAAAAUUUGGCGGCAAAUUUUCAUAAAGAAUGAAGAAAAUCUUAUCUUGUCUGAGCAACUUUUCACAGCAAUAGUUUAUUUUUACCGAGAAAUCUUUCAAGCACAAAAAAGCAGGAGAACAUCGAGACUUUUUCAGUGAAAAAAAGACAAAUAGUGAAAACUCAACAGCAUCAAUAAAAAGGAAGAUGAAAAUUCAAGAAAGAAAAAGGAAUGCAUGGAUUAGGCUCAAUACAAUUUAUAUCGAAAAUUGACUGUUACAUCGUUUAAAUUCUGAGGUUAUUACAUUGACCUUGUUAUAACUGUACCAUUAUUUUCAACAUUCCUGCUUACCUUUCUUUUCACGUUGCCUGAUUCCAUUCCAUCUUUUAUCUACAAUACAAGAUUGGAUCGAAGCUUAAACAAAAUAAUAAACUCUCUCUCUCUCAAUAUUUGACAAGUUGAAACUUUCUUCAAGCUCAACCAAGCAUCUAACAGAAAUGAAUUGACACAAUAUUCAAGGAUUUUUUUUACUCUUUUGUUGGAUUUGAUGCAAGAUAAAGUUUGAAGAUGAUUCCAAGCUAAAAAAUACACUCAAAUGGAAAGGAGGAAAAAGAAGAAGCUCAACAAAAAUAAGGUGAAACAAGAUCAAAAUCAUUCAUCGACCAAUGUUAUUUCCUCUAUCAUGUUGAACUAUACAAAGAAGGACUCUACUUAAUCUCAGUUAAAGUUAUCCUUUUUGCCUCAGUUCUUAUUUAGCUUUUCCAAUUCUUGGUUCACCUUUUUUUCCCUCCAAUCAUGGUGAGACACCUUUAACCAUCAUCUAUACGUUUAAAUUAUUUGUUUCGUAUUGAUACAAAUGGCUACUGACAGUUUCACUUAACACUGACUUAUUGGCCUCAUUGGAUUCAACUAUUGGAUUAAACAAAUUGGUAAUCUUGUAUUGAUUUUUGUCUUUGCCAGGUUGAAAUAUUUCCUACAACAGUCAAUUGGAUUAUUUGAAUUAUUGCAAGAUUGCCGAUUGAAUUUCAAUCGUCUCUUGCUUUUUUUCAUUAAGCCCCAAUUAACUUGCUCUAAUCUUAAUUUACAAUUAAUUUUUGCAACUUUUCUUCUUUUUUUCUGUCUCUUUCCAGCUUCAUCUUCAACUUAUCAGAAUAAUUUAUCGUCUAGAGUUGAAAAAGAAACAAAGAAGAGGAAGAAAAGCAAAAAUUCAAAUGAGCUCAUCACUAUUAAUAGUUCCAAUCUGAUUCAUACUCUUGCUAGUCUCUAAUCUUACCUAUUCUUCUUGCUGACUCUCAUUUAAUAGAUUAUUCAUUCAACAAUUAUGCUAAUUUUACUUAUUUAUCAAUGCAAUUGUUGGUUUAAGUGAAUCCAAUUGUUCCUACUCUUGACGAGUUAAUCAUUGAUAUUGAAUAAGUAAAAUUGGACUCUUCAUCAUCUUCACAUGUUCAUAAUCAUUUACUUGCUUUAUAAUUGCUAUUUUUGGCUUGUGGAUUCAUUUUGAUUGUCUGUACAUUUCCGUUUCCUUUGCUUGGCUCACCGAAUUACCAUUCAAGUUUUACCCUUUCAUUCUUCAUCUUCCAUUACGUUAAUAAUCACUUCUUGUCCAUCCUCAUUAACUUUUUGCCUGGGUAAAAGUAGAGGGUAAAGAGAGAGAGAGAGAAGAUGAAAAAAGAGCAAAGAGGGAGAUUCUUAUGAUCAUUUAUUAUCAUCUUAUUCAGGUUACCUGUAAAAACCUUUAUUAUCUAACCUAACAUUGAAAUUACUUUUUCAAUGACUAUUCCUCAUCUUACUUUAUUCAGCCUUUCUCUUCUCCCAAUUUUAUCUUCUCUUCUUUUCUCUCUUAUUUUUCCAAAGUUUCACAUUGCAGCUCUAAUUUACUUGACAAAUCAAAUCUGUUUCACUGAAACCUAUCAACAUCAUCAGCAUCAAUUUACUACAUCACUUGGUUCAUUCUUUACCUCUCUGUUGUCCUCUGUUUUGUUGGAGUUUUUUUGUGUUUAUUUCUGCUGUUGCUCAUGUUAAUCAUGAUGUUACCAUUCAAUUCUGCUCAAUUGUUUGCAAUCAAGCGAAGUUAACUUACAACCAUUUAUAAGAUAAUAUCCAUCCAUAAAUGAAAGACAAGAUGAACACACACAAUGAUGAAAUAUAAUUACUUUCAACUCUGGAGUAGCAGAUAAAUAGGAAUUUGUUGGAAAGUAGUAAAGCAAAAAGUCAAGUUUCCUGGAGUAGAACAAAAUUUUACCAGCGAAAAAGAUCAUUCAAUCAAUUGUUUAAACGUUGAGUAAACGUAAACAGCUAAAAGUCAACAAGUUGAUACUUUUUCCCCUGUUUCAUGUAACUAAACCAGUUGUCAACAAAAACGAAUCAGCAUGCUAAUUUGUUGAAUGGAAAUAUAAAUUGAUUAGAUUAGGCAAAUAAUGGUUUUAUAUUGAUGGCAACACAAGAUUUCUGGAAAUGGUGACAUUUGCUGCCCAUGAAAAUUAAAAAAAAAUUGUCAACAUUCUUGCUGAGUCAAUAGACAUUCUGUCAGCCAACAAAUUUCACAUCCAAAGCAAUUUGUAACACUGGAAAGGCUCAAGCUGGUUGAACAAAGAGAUUGUUGAAAAAUGAGUUUUUUUUCUAAAAAAAUUGGAAACGAAUCCAGAGCAAAAAUGAAAGGAGCAAAAAUCAACAACCAGUUGCUUAUUCACCAAAUAACUUUGCCUUGAUAAUGAAAUAGUAGAUAAUGAUAAAUGUUUAAAUGGAUGAUGGACUGAUUUUGAUACAAUUCAAUUUUCAUGUUUCUAUCACUUGAUAGUUUAACAUGAAUAGAGUUUUCAUUGAAUGGUUCCAUCCGAUUCUUUUUUUACUCAUCUCUAAAUUGAAAAUUAUCAUCUAAUCAGGUUCACCUUACAGUGUCUCUUCCUGUUAUUCAAUAUACAAAAUUGAUUCAACAUAAUAAUCAUAGUUUAUAUACAAGCUCAACUUUUUUUUCACUGUUUCUGUUUUUUUCCUGCUUCUUCACAAAAGGAAAGCAAAAGUGUAAUGAAGAGUUGGAGGAGAUGGCAAAGAGGCAACAAGAUGAAUUGAAGGAUGCUUUUUCACCUUUUGAUUGAUGCUAAAAUAACAAGCAAAGGAUUGCUACAAAAGUAAAGAUAAGCAGGGAAAAAUAUUUUAAGAUGAAGUGAUAUUGAAGACAAUGAAACCAAUGUUGUACUACAUGCAUCAUCUUUAUCAUAUAAAAUUAAAACUGUCACAUCGAUUUUUACCUUGAUUAAUGGUCUUGUAAUGAUGAUGAUGAUGGUCAGAAGGAAAACUAGAAAAGUAUCAAGAAAAGUGGAAAAUGAUAAAGCUGGAAAUAAGAUGAAAGAAGAAGAAGAAAUCAAAGAAUGAGAUAAAUGACCAUCAAGAUGAUACCACAGGUUUAUUAGACAAGAGAUGACAAUAAAGAAACACAAGCAAUCCAAGAAGAGGAAAGAUGGCAACUUUAAAGACAUUGAGAGUAACAUGGAAAGAUUGAAUGGAAAAGGUGAAAAGGAAAACAAAAGAGAUUAAACAAGUUGAAUGAGCAAGAUUAGGAAUCAAUGCAAUUCAUUUUUCAAGUUUUAAAGAUUAUAUUUUCCGCAAAGCAACUCCGAUUUUUGACUCUUUUCCCAGUUGUUAUGAUAGACUUUCAGAAGAGUUAAUUAAAGAAGAGCUGGUAAAAGAUGAGAAGAUGGCCAAGAAGAAGAAAACAAGGGAAAAAAUGGUUGUUAUCCUGAAUUUGGCAUGCAAUUUACCAUUGAGAAUAAUAAUUAUCAUUAUCGCGAUGAAAUGGCUCGAAAGAAAUGGCGCAACGAAAACAAAACCAAGAGUAAAAAGUUGCAAUGGAAAGCAAAUGUAGUUUAAACUUGCCUAAUAACCUGCUCUUGAUGUUUUAUAAGAUGUAAUACAAGAGUUGUUAAUAACCAUUCUAACCUGAAGAAUGUUUAUUUUCAACAAUCAAUCAACUAUCCAAGUAAACAAAACUGGUACAACUCUUGAACAAGCUUCUGGUUAAAAGCAAAAGGAUUCAUCAUCAACUUUUUCAUUAUUAAUCUCACUCUUCAACUACCAACUCUCUUCACUUGCUUUUCUGGGUCAAUUAAUGUACUUUAAACAUUAAUUUACAAUUUACAUUAUUGGUUUGGAUCAAAAAUUUACAAUUACAACAGUCUCUCCAGUUUUAACCAUUUAUUGUUAAAUGAACAACAUUAAUUGUGACUUGUUUUUUUACCAGUGUUUGCCUUCAUUCCUUUUCAUUUAUCUUAAUCAAUGUACAUAUCAUUUCUCGGAGUGUUGGUGCAUUAAACAAAUGAAAGGCAAACACACAAAAACAAUUUAACAUAAUAGUUGUAAUAACUUUGAUAACUGUUGGUUAUUUGGUAAAAAAAGCUCAUCAAAAAGGAAAGAAAACAUGGAAAACUUGGAAAACAUGGAAAACAAUUACGCUGCUGUUGAUUAAUUUAAACAAGGUAUUGAGCUAGUUUAAUGUAGUCUUGUUUGUUAUACUCUUCAUCAAUACACUGACAAACUAAUCAACUCUUGAUUACCUUCAACUAUUGUAAAGCAUUAAAAUCAAUUAAUGUUGUCAUUAACUUGGUAAAAUUAAUUGAUUUUAUUGUUUCAUUGAAUACAUAAAAAAGACAAUAUUAAUUGUACAAAUGUUGAUAAAAGUGUAACUCAAGGUUUUCAUUACCUGAGCAAACACCAACUGUAAUAAUAACCCAAGAACCCAAAUGGUUCAAUUGAAUGCUUAAAA